rnacentral:rRNA from 1 species
AGUGAACGCUGGCGGUAGGCCUAACACAUGCAAGUCGAACGGCAGCACAGUAAGAGCUUGCUCUUACGGGUGGCGAGUGGCGGACGGGUGAGGAAUACAUCGGAUUCUACUUUUUCGUGGGGGAUCACGUAGGGAAACUUACGCUAAUACCUCACACGACCUACCGGUGAAAGCAUGGGAUCUUAGCACCUUCCGCGAUUGAAUGAGCGGAUGUCGGUUUAGGUGGUUGGCGGGUUAAAGGCCCACCAAGGCGGCGAUCAGUAGCUGGUGGGAGAGCACGACAAGUGACAAGGGCACUGAGACACGGGCCAGACGACUACGGGAGGCAGCAGGAAGGAAGAGUGGUCAAUGGACGAAAGUCUGAACCAGCCAUGACGCGUGAAGGAUGAAGGUCCUCUGGAUUGUAAACUUCUUUUGAAGGGGACGAAACCUCUUUUGCUCGAGAGACUGACGGGACCAUUAGAAUAAGCACCGGCGAACUCCGU